GAUGAACGCUGGCGGCGUGCCUAAUACAUGCAAGUCGAGCGAACGGACGAGAAGCUUGCUUCUCUGAUGUUAGCGGCGGACGGGUGAGUAACACGUGGAUAACCUACCUAUAAGACUGGGAUAACUUCGGGGAACCGGAGCUAAUACCGGAUAAUAUUUUGAACCGCAUGGUUCAAAAGUGAAAGACGGUCUUGCUGUCACUUAUAGAUGGAUCCGCGCUGCAUUAGCUAGUUGGUAAGGUAACGGCUUACCAAGGCAACGAUGCAUAGCCGACCUGAGAGGGUGAUCGGCCACACUGGAACUGAGACACGGUCCAGACUCCUACGGGAGGCAGCAGUAGGGAAUCUUCCGCAAUGGGCGAAAGCCUGACGGAGCAACGCCGCGUGAGUGAUGAAGGUCUUCGGAUCGUAAGACUCUGUUAUUAGGGAAGAACAUAUGUGUAAGUAACUGUGCACAUCUUGACGGUACCUAAUCAGAAAGCCACGGCUAACUACGUGCCAGCAGCCGCGGUAAUACGUAGGUGGCAAGCGUUAUCCGGAAUUAUUGGGCGUAAAGCGCGCGUAGGCGGUUUUUUAAGUCUGAUGUGAAAGCCCACGGCUCAACCGUGGAGGGUCAUUGGAAACUGGAAAACUUGAGUGCAGAAGAGGAAAGUGGAAUUCCAUGUGUAGCGGUGAAAUGCGCAGAGAUAUGGAGGAACACCAGUGGCGAAGGCGUCUUUCUGGUCUGUAACUGACGCUGAUGUGCGAAAGCGUGGGGAUCAAACAGGAUUAGAUACCCUGGUAGUCCACGCCGUAAACGAUGAGUGCUAAGUGUUAGGGGGUUUCCGCCCCUUAGUGCUGCAGCUAACGCAUUAAGCACUCCGCCUGGGGAGUACGACCGCAAGGUUGAAACUCAAAGGAAUUGACGGGGACCCGCACAAGCGGUGGAGCAUGUGGUUUAAUUCGAAGCAACGCGAAGAACCUUACCAAAUCUUGACAUCCUUUGACAACUCUAGAGAUAGAGCCUUCCCCUUCGGGGGACAAAGUGACAGGUGGUGCAUGGUUGUCGUCAGCUCGUGUCGUGAGAUGUUGGGUUAAGUCCCGCAACGAGCGCAACCCUUAAGCUUAGUUGCCAUCAUUAAGUUGGGCACUCUAAGUUGACUGCCGGUGACAAACCGGAGGAAGGUGGGGAUGACGUCAAAUCAUCAUGCCCCUUAUGAUUUGGGCUACACACGUGCUACAAUGGACAAUACAAAGGGCAGCGAAACCGCGAGGUCAAGCAAAUCCCAUAAAGUUGUUCUCAGUUCGGAUUGUAGUCUGCAACUCGACUACAUGAAGCUGGAAUCGCUAGUAAUCGUAGAUCAGCAUGCUACGGUGAAUACGUUCCCGGGUCU
rnacentral:rRNA from 1 species